rnacentral:tRNA from 1 species
ACCGGCAUGGCGCAGCGGCAGCGCGCGGGGCUCAUAACUCCGAGGACACUCGAUCGAAACGAGUUGCCGGUA